CUGGAUAGGAGGGCCUCGAUCCCACA
rnacentral:tRNA from 1 species